rnacentral:rRNA from 1 species
GACGAACGCUGGCGGCGUGCUUAACACAUGCAAGUCGAACGGAAAGGCCUCUUUCGGGGGGUACUCGAGUGGCGAACGGGUGAGUAACACGUGAGUAACCUGCCCUUGACUUUGGGAUAACUUCAGGAAACUGGGGCUAAUACCGGAUAGGAGCUCCUGCUGCAUGGUGGGGGUUGGAAAGUUUCGGCGGUUGGGGAUGGACUCGCGGCUUAUCAGCUUGUUGGUGGGGUAGUGGCUUACCAAGGCUUUGACGGGUAGCCGGCCUGAGAGGGUGACCGGCCACAUUGGGACUGAGAUACGGCCCAGACUCCUACGGGAGGCAGCAGUGGGGAAUAUUGCACAAUGGGUGGAAGCCUGAUGCAGCAACGCCGUGUGCGGGAUGACGGCCUUCGGAUUGUAAACCGCUUUCGCUCAUGACGAAGCUUUGUGUGACGGUAGUGGGUAAAGAAGCACCGGCUAACUACGU